GACGAACCGUGCGAACGUUAUUCGGAAUCAUUGGGCUUAAAGGGCGCGUAGGCGGCGGUGUAAGUUGGAAGUGAAAUCCCAUCGGCUCAACCGUGGAAUUGCUCCCAGUACUGCAUCGCUCGAGGGGGAUAGGGGUUUGCGGAACUACCGGUGGAGCGGUGAAAUGUGUUGGAUAUCGGUGGGAACGCCAGUGGCGAAAGCGGCAAACUUGACCCUUCCUGAACGCUGAGGCGCGAAAGCUAGGGGAGCAAACGGG
rnacentral:rRNA from 1 species